ACAUUUUGUAGCCAAGAAGGGAAAUGACAGCUAGAUGUCCAAAUGAAGCUGUUCACAUCAACAAGUUUAAAAAAGGUUUUGGAUUUUAAAAUCUCUUGUUCUACAUAUAAAACUAAGUCCAAAAAUUCCACAUGUUCUUUGCUGUAGGAAUAUGUGAAAGACAAGUUAAAAUUAUUAUUAUUAAGAUGUGUUAAAAACUCCAAUAGUGCCGCCUCUGUACCCUCCCAGAUAAAAAAGCAGUCAUCUACAUAUAGGACUAGGUUUUCUACCCAGCAGUGCCCUUGCCAGAUAAACAGCUCCUCCCAAUAUGACAUAAAAAUGUUGGCAUAGCUGGG